rnacentral:lncRNA from 1 species
CAACACACAUGAUAGGGGCAUGCAGAAUCUAAUAUCCACUACUGGAAAGAAGUAGAUACCUCGUCAGAUAUCUCCAGGAUAUCUCCAUCUGAAUCACUGUCGGCCGUCGCUACAGCAGCCACCGUCCGAUUUUUGAGUUGAGGGCAAUCUCUGGCUAAAUGCUCCAACUCCUCACACCGGUAACACCUGGUUUUGCUCAAGUCCCUCCUGGACUUAGACCACCCUCGUUGCAAUCUCCUGUCGCUCUGUCUACCGCCUCUUGCUCCUCCAAAAGCCACC